rnacentral:rRNA from 1 species
AUGGCGGACCAGCUGACCGACGAGCAGAUCGCCGAGUUCAAGGAGGCCUUCAGCCUCUUCGACAAGGAUGGCGACGGUUGCAUCACCACCAAGGAGCUCGGAACCGUGAUGCGGUCCCUCGGGCAGAACCCCACGGAGGCGGAGCUGCAGGACAUGAUCAACGAGGUUGACGCGGACGGCAACGGCACCAUCGACUUCCCGGAGUUCCUGAACCUGAUGGCGAGGAAGAUGAAGGACACUGACUCGGAGGAGGAGCUCAAGGAGGCGUUCCGCGUGUUUGACAAGGACCAGAACGGCUUCAUCUCGGCGGCGGAGCUGCGCCACGUGAUGACCAACCUCGGGGAGAAGCUGACGGACGAGGAGGUGGACGAGAUGAUCCGGGAGGCGGACGUGGACGGCGACGGCCAGAUCAACUACGAGGAGUUCGUCAAGGUCAUGAUGGCCAAGUGA